CUCACAUUGGGUCCACCGGGAAAAUCCAAGAUAGUCUCCCCAUCUCAAGAUCUGUAGAGGAGGUGCUUUGGAGGAUCAUUUCCAUAUGGAUGAGGGGAUGCUGCACAGAGAGGCACAGAGAAGUCAAGGCAUUUGCAGCUCUGCUAUGAUUUUAACCCAAACUGUCUGUCUUCAGUCUUGUGACCACUCCACAUCACUGCUCUGCACACCAGCUGCCUGUUACACAGAUCAGAACACUGAGGCUCAGAGAGUUUACUAAUG